UAUAGGCCUACUCUGUACUGCUAUAUAGUGUAGCCUUUUGUUGACAAUGUUAACGUUUUUAUGGUGAAUUGCCCUUUAAAUGGAGCGAAGUUCAGUUCAGGAAGCUACAUCAGUGCGUUGCUACACACACGACAUUGUUUACCCGUCAUUGUAACAUAUCCAACGCAUCCUUUGGCGCUGUCGGCCUGAGUGAAGCUCUGGAAGCUGGAAAGGUGUUUUCUGUCCUGCACUGUGGGUGACUUGGGAACUCUGCAACUAUUUACUGAGACUUUUCACUUCACCAAAGAACUGGAGAUAAUUUGAUCUGAGAGUGGUUCACCUGGGAGAGCUGGCUGCUCUGACUGCAAGAGGAUUUGUGAACUGGC